rnacentral:lncRNA from 1 species
AUGGUCGGCGUGACCAGCAGCCACGAGCCGGGAGCGGCGAAGGCGCAGGGCCCCCUCCGGGGCCGGCGCCGUCCGCCGGAGACGAUCAAAGUCCGCAGCGCAGGGCGCGGCGGAUGCUUCCCACCGCGCGGUACCCCCCCACCCCCAGCGAGCACCCACCCCCACCCCCGAGCGUGGAACCCCCCGAGCGUGGCACCCCCGGAUACCUGGCGGCGGCGGCGGCGGCGGGCGGGCGGGCGCCGUCAUCUCCGCGCUCCUCUCGGCCCGAGAGGGACUCGAAAGUAUGUAGGAGAAGAGUUUCCCCUCCCACAUGGGGGGGGGGGGGGAGGAGGGAUGUCGGGGGAGAGAGAGAGAGAGAGGGCGGAAGAUGGAGAACUGCGCUGGGAAGAUGUCUCUGGCCGGCCGGGCGCGCACCCUCCGAGUCCCCCCGGCGGGGCUCGGUUAAAAAUAAAUGCGGCGGCGGGCGCGGCGGCGCGGGUCGGGCCGGAUUCCUGCGCUCGGACGGCUAAUAUGGAUGCGCAUCAGGUCCCCCGGCGGUGGGGCGCUGCGGCCGGCGGCUCGCGCUGGGAGCUGGUUGGCAGAGCCGGCGGCUCGGGAAGGGGAAAGGGAGCGGAGGAAGGGGAGGAGGAGGAGGGAGGAGGGGGGAGGAGGGGGGAGGACGCGGGGAGGAGGAGCGGCCCGGCGCGCAGCAGCCCGAGGGGCGAGGGCUGCCCGGCUCAUCCCACGCCGGCCCCCCGAGCGCACGCAGCGCCGCGGCCGUGGGGUGCGGUGGGGGGGUGGCUCCUGGGUCCUCGCGGCCCCUGGGGGAGACGCGGAGUUCGAAAAGUGCGGCGCGCCCUGCGCAGACCUCACCCUCCCCACAUCCCCAAAAGUUCUUCGGAAAGGUCGCCGCUCCCGGCUCAGCCCCGGACAUCUCGCGGCCGCCCGAGGGACCGCGAGCCGGAACGCCCGGGGGCGCGUACUCACGGCCAGGCCAGGGCGCUGGGGGCUCCCGGGCGAGGACGCCGAGGGGACCGGUGGGCUGCGGGAAGGGAUCGAGCAGAGAUGCAAACUUGUUCCGGAAAAGGAAUCAAAAUGGCGUUUCUGGAUGUGCAAAGUUCAUCAACUCCGCAGUCGCUUCCCCCCCCCUCCCCGCUCCGCUUCGCCCCGCGGGGAGGGAGGUGGGCGAGGAGCUGGCGACCCCGGCGCCCCGGCCGCCGUCGUGGCCCCCGCCCCGGCCCCCCGCCCCGCUUGCCCGCCCGCACGCUCGGAGCCCCGCUCUCCCCCUCUCACCCUGAUAAGUAG